ACACUGACGUCGCGACGCAUAUCAAUAAGCGGAGGAAAAGAAACUAACUAGGAUUCCCUUAGUAACGGCGAGUGAAGCGGGAAGAGCUCAAAUUUGAAAUCUUCAAGGUUCUACCUUGACGAAUUGUAGUUUAAAGAAGUGUUUUCUGUUGAAGUUUUGGUAAAAGUUCUUUGGAAUAGAACAUCAUAGAGGGUGAGAAUCCCGUAUUUGGUACCAUUCUUUCUAGCUGUGUGAUACACUUUCAAAGAGUCGGAUUGUUUGGGAAUGCAGUCCAAAAUGGGUGGUAAAUUUCAUCUAAAGCUAAAUAUUGGCGAGAGACCGAUAGCGAACAAGUACCGUGAGGGAAAGAUGAAAAGAACUUUGAAAAGAGAGUUAAACAGUACGUGAAAUUGUCAAAAGGGAAGCGUUUGACACCAGUGUUGUUUUCUCGAAAAUCAAUUAAAAAUGGCCGGAUUUUGUGUUGUAUUGACUUUAUCAGCUUUCUGCACUUUUUUCUUGUCUUUUUUAAUGCACUUUUCGUUUAACAAGUCAACAUCAAUUUCUUCUGUUGUAAAAGAGUCAUUGGAAGGUGGCUUUCAUUCCGGUGAAAGUGUUUAUAGCCUUUGACUUCUGCAAUCGGAGAGAUUGAGGUCUGCAGCGUAGAUCCUUCGGGGUUAGAUACAUUUGUGCUAAGUUAUAGCUUUUCAUAGACAACUUGUUGACUAUGUUUAGUCUUGUAGCUUACUCGCUUAUGCUAUUUUACCUACGCUUAGGAUGUUGAACUCUAUCACACACAG
rnacentral:rRNA from 1 species